rnacentral:rRNA from 1 species
GACUAACGCUGGCGGCGUGCCUAAUACAUGCAAGUCGAACGGGAUUCUUUGAUCAGUUUGCUGAGAGAAGGAUCUAGUGGCGGACGGGUGAGUAACGCGUGGGAAUCUGCCUCUUACUGGGGGAUAACAGUGGGAAACUACUGCUAAUACCGCAUAAGAUCUUCGGAUGAAAGGUGCAACUGCACCGGUAAGAGAUGAGCCCGCGUCCCAAUUAGCUAGUUGGUGAGGUAAAGGCUCACCAAGGCGACGAUGGGUAGCCGGCCUGAGAGGGUGAACGGCCACACUGGGACUGAGACACGGCCCAGACUCCUACGGGAGGCAGCAGUAGGGAAUCUUCCGCAAUGGGCGCAAGCCUGACGGAGCGACGCCGCGUGAGUGAUGAAGGCCUUGGUCGUAAAGCUCUGUUCUUGAGGACGAAUAAGCCAGGGAGUGGAAAGCCCUGGUGAUGACUGUACUCAAGGAGAAAGCUCCGGCUAACUAACGUGCC